AAACUCUUCUUCUUCAUCAUUAGACACUCAUGGAGGAUGGAGUUUCUUUAUUUUUAAGCUUAAAUUUGUCAAGGUUUCUCUCAAUUAAGUGACACCCUUCAUCUAUUAUCAAUUUGGAAGCAAAAAUUGAGAUCUUACGCGCUAUUGGAUUAGAGAAAUAGAGGAUUUGGAGGAUUGAACAACGGGCUAUUGUAUUUGCUUUUGAAAUUGGAAUAAGCGAUCGAGUGUUUUCUUUCAGGAUUAAUAUUUGAUGAUGUGGUCGAGCUUCCAACCAUUGUUCCGGAAGUCUCAAUUAUGGGGAGUCUUAUUCUUUUUAGAGCUGCAGUAGUCAAGAUAGUAGAGUUAGCUAGUAGCAAACAAUUUAUGUUUAUUUUAUGCCAUGACAUAAUGAUGUAUUUUGGGAAAAUGAAUUAUCCAGGAAUUUAAUAUAUGGUUAAUUGGUAUUUUAUACAGAGUGAUUUGUGUGUUUUCACAGGUGUGGUUUA